rnacentral:rRNA from 1 species
ACAAGCGGUGGAGCAUGUGGUUUAAUUCGAUGCUACGCGAAGAACCUUACCAGGUCUUGACAUCUUCUGCCAACCUAAGAGAUUAGGCGUUCCCUUCGGGGACAGAAUGACAGGUGGUGCAUGGUUGUCGUCAGCUCGUGUCGUGAGAUGUUGGGUUAAGUCCCGCAACGAGCGCAACCCUUAUUGUUAGUUGCCAGCAUUCAGUUGGGCACUCUAGCAAGACUGCCGGUGACAAACCGGAGGAAGGUGGGGAUGACGUCAAAUCAUCAUGCCCCUUAUGACCUGGGCUACACACGUGCUACAAUGGACGGUACAACGAGUCGCGAAACCGCGAGGUCAAGCUAAUCUCUUAAAGCCGUUCUCAGUUCGGAUUGUAGGCUGCAACUCGCCUACAUGAAGUUGGAAUCGCUAGUAAUCGUGGAUCAGCAUGCCACGGUGAAUACGUUCCCGGGCCUUGUACACACCGCCCGUCACACCAUGAGAGUUUGUAACACCCAAAGCCGGUGAGGUAACCUUCGGGGACCAGCCGUCUAAGGUGGGACAGAUGAUUAGGGUGAAGUCGUAACAAGGUAACC